CCUACGGGUGGCAGCAGUGGGGAAUAUUGGACAAUGGGGGGAACCCUGAUCCAGGCAUGCCGCGUGUGUGAAGAAGGCCCUCGGGUUGUAAAGCACUUUCAGUGAGGAAGAACGCCUGGUGGUUAAUACCCAUCAGGAAAGACAUCACUCACAGAAGAAGCACCGGCUAACUCCGUGCCAGCAGCCGCGGUAAUACGGAGGGUGCGAGCGUUAAUCGGAAUUACUGGGCGUAAAGCGCGCGUAGGUGGCUUGAUAAGCCGGUUGUGAAAGCCCCGGGCUCAACCUGGGAACGGCAUCCGGAACUGUCAAGCUAGAGUGCAGGAGAGGAAGGUAGAAUUCCCGGUGUAGCGAUGAAAUGCGUAGAGAUCGGGAGGAAUACCAGUGGCGAAGGCGGCCUUCUGGACUGACACUGACACUGAGGUGCGAAAGCGUGGGUAGCAAACAGGAUUAGAUACCCGAGUAGUC
rnacentral:rRNA from 1 species